GCGGAUUGCGGGCGGAAACAGGAGGGAGGGAAGCGAACACGCCGGGGUGCUUUUAUUUUUGCUCGGCUUGCUGUGUGUUUGGACCCGUGUUGAUGCGGCGGUACCGGGGAAGCCGCGGGUGCUGCCGGGAGAACAGUCCGGGCUGAAACACUCCAUGAGGGCGCAGCGUGUCGGUUCCCCCCAUGGCGCAGAUGAACAGGAGGAGGAUGCGGGAAACACCGCCGCGGCGUUCGGGCGCGACUGAGCGCUUUUUGUCCCCAGGUGGAGCAAACCUUACAGCUGUGCUUCUCAACAUGUGGAGUGCUGGACAGAGAAGGGCGAACAAAAGGGCCGCCAUGCUGCCAGGGGAAAUCUGUUCCGCGAUUUGAAGGCGACGCAAUGGCUGAGAAUGAGACUAAUCUGAGGACGGCCAGGAUAUGGCGAGACGCAGCUUUACGCUCCAGGAAACUGAGGAGCAACCUGCGCCAACUCACUCUGAGCACCAACGACAGCCAGAAAAUCACCUUACCCGACGAUAUCAAGGAGAUCGAAGUCCUCAACCUGGGCAAUAAUUCCCUCCAAGAGCUUCCUGAGGGUCUGGGCUCGACUUUGACCAAGCUUCGCAUCCUCAUCCUCCGCAGGAACAAGUUCACCUCUGUGCCCUCUCCGAUAUUCCAGCUCGGACACUUGGCUGAGCUGGAUCUUAGUCACAACUGCCUGAGCCAUUUCUCGGAGGACAUCGAGUAUUUGAACGGUCUGAAAAAGCUCUGUGUGAGCCACAACAAGAUCCGGUACCUGCCAUCGCAAAUUGGGACGUUGCAGGCCCUGGAGGAGGUCGAUGUGAGCUUCAACGAACUCCAUGAUUUCCCCAGGUCCUUCACGCAGCUCAAGAAGCUCAGGACUCUCGACGUGGAUCAUAACAAGCUCCAGAAUUUCCCACCGGAGCUUCUUGCCCUCAGUGAUUUGGAGGAACUCGAUUGUUCUGGGAAUAAACUAGAGGGCCUACCGGGCAAUAUCACAAUGCUACAGUCUCUCAAAAUUUUGUGGCUCAGUAGCACCAGUAUCUCGUCUUUACCUGAGACCUUCUGCGAUCUGCAGAACCUCGAGAGCUUGAUGCUCGAUAACAAUUCCCUUGCAGCGCUGCCACAGUCGUUUGGAAAAAUGCAAAAGCUGAAAAUGCUCAAUCUGUCGUCCAACUUGUUUGAAGAUUUUCCUCAGGUUAUUCUCACAAUCGCCAGUUUGGAGGAGCUGUAUUUGAGCAGAAAUAGGUUGUCUUUCCUCCCAGAAGAAGUGGGCCGACUAUCUAACCUCGCCAAUUUGUGGUUGGACAAUAACAGAAUAACAUUUCUCCCAGACUCCAUAGUGGAGCUGGAGAAACUGGAGGAACUGGUUUUACAGGGUAACCAAAUUGCUAUCCUGCCAGACAAUUUCGGAAAGCUCGCCAAAGUUAAUAUUUGGAAAGUUAAGGACAAUCCUCUCAUACAACCUCCAUAUGAGGUGUGCAUGAAGGGCAUCCCGUAUAUAGCUGCAUAUCAGAAGGAGCUUGCCCAAGCCCAGACUGCUGUGAAACCAAGACUCAAACUCGUUUUGAUGGGGCAGACAAAUGCAGGGAAAACUAAGCUCAGGCAGUGCAUUGUAAGCAAACCGCUAGAUGCGAAGACAAUAACUGGCGGUAGAGGGAUCGAUGUGACGAACUGGGUAGCGGAUGCUCACCGUAGUCUUACAUUCAUCGUGUAUGAUUUAUCAGGGAAGCAGAAUUACGAACUCAUUAAACCAUUUUUCCUCUCGCCAGGCGCUCUGUACAUCGUGGUAGUGAAUUUAAAGCUGUACACAUGUAAGACUUUCUACUCCAGUAUAGGAUAUUUCCUUCACCUGCUCAGUGCCAAGGUGCCCCAUGCAGUGGUGUGUGUCGUAGGAACUCACAUUGACCUCUGUGCUGAGGAAGAAUUGGAGGAAAAGUGUUUGGACAUCCACAGACAGAUCUCUCUGCAGGAGAAGAGGGACACAGAGAGUCUACGGACACUUGCUAAGCAGGUGGAUGAAGCCUUGGAACAGGACUACGAUGUCAGGGCGUCAAGUCUGCAUGUACUUUUUUAUGGAGUCUCGGACAGGAACCUGAGACGUAAAAAAGCCCAGUUGCAGUGCAUGCUGAACAAUCGACUGCAGAUCCUGUCACCAGUGUUUUGUGUCAGUUGCGUGGAGAUGCGAAAUAUCCAGCGAUUAAAGGAGAAACUCAUGUCUGUCGCUGAUCACCGGGAUAUCUUUCCUAACCUACACAGAGUACUGCCCAAGUCGUGGCAGAUGCUAGAGGAGCUCCAUUUCAAGCCGCAGGACCUGUGGCUGUCCUGGUGGGACUCUGCUCGUCUGGGCCUGCAAGCGGGACUGACAGAAGACCGUCUACAAAGUGCGCUGUCCUACCUACAUGAGAGCGGUAAACUGCUGUACUUUGAGGACAGCGUAACCCUAAAAGAAUUUGUUUUCCACAAUCUGCCACGGUUCAUCGCUGUCUUGAACGUCUUCUUUCAGAAGGACCUUACCGCCAUGCUGGAGAAAUUAAAUUCUGAAAGCGACACUGAAGAGAAUGUAGCACCUUCUCAAAUCCAGCACCACGUGGAAAGCUUUCUGCUGCACGGUCUGCUGCCUUCCAACGUCAUCCGCCAGCUCCUCAAACCUCUAGUGCAGACGCAGCAGGACUUGCACCUUAUCAUGGAGCUGCUUGAAAAGAUGGGGGUUUGCUACUGCAUCAACAAACCUCGCAGCAAACCACUAAAUGGGGCGCCUGUGGUUUACAAGUUCCCCAGUCUGGUCAGCAGCGAGGAGCCCAACACUGAACCCUGGCAGAAUGGUGGCUCAUCAGUUCCUGGUCAGUUCUUCUCGGUGGAACAGUUGCAGAUCGAGUAUAGCUUUCCGUUUCUCAUUCCUCCUGGACUUUUUGCACGGUUCAGUGUGCAAAUCAACAGCCACGUGGUGCAACGCACCGAUGGAAAGGAUUACAUCUUUGCCUAUCGGGGUAAAGUGCCUGUCAUGGUGAACUAUCGGCCUUCCCGAACCAGACUGCACCCAGAUACUCUUGCCAUUUCUAGUCAUGCAUCGCUGCCAAAUAUCUGGACAGCUUGGCAAGCGAUUACCCCACUGGUAGAGGAGCUGAAUGUUCUUCUCCAGGAAUGGCCUGGUCUCCAUUAUUCUGUACAUAUCCUGUGUUCCAAGUGCCUGAAGCGAGGGUCAACCAACCCACAUUCCUUUCCAGGUGAGUUGCUGAGCCAGCCUCGACCCGAGGGCUUGACUGAGAUCAUCUGUCCUAAGAACGGCUCGGAGCGGGUCAACGUGGCCCUCGUCUACCCUCCCUCUCCCACUCUGAUCAGCCCCAGUCACAAAUGACACAAACGUCCCUCCAGCACAGCACAAUGACUGUAAACGCGCUCGCACACCCUGCCGCACCUCUGUCUUCCCCUUAACACACACAGAGAACACUAGAUGGAGCUACUAGAGAGGGUGUGUGUAUGUAUGUGUGUGUGUCCUGCCUUCACUUCCUGUGUGCUCAGAAGAUGACUAUGAUGGGAUGUGUGUUCCACAGGAGCCAGUGUGGAUACACACUCACUCUCAGCCAUGUGCACACAUGAAGACAUGAAAAAUCUCACACACUGCAGUUAAUGAGCUCGUGCUGCUGGUUGUCAAAGAAAGAACAGUGUUUGUUAGAAACUGUUGAUCUGAAGUCUCAGACCCAGAAUGGGACGUCUGUAUGAGAAGCUUGCGGUUUAUCCACUGGCUGCGAAACGGGGACAAAUCAGAAUGAAAAGCUGACGACAGGCUCUGUGAAAUGGCACAUGAAGGAAGAAGGUUCUGCUUCUCGGAUGCUGACUGUUGAAGAGGUCAUGGUGUUAUUAAAAGUGGACUGAGUUGAUGGAGGAUUGGGACAAUCUGUUAUCCAAAAAAAAAAAACCCUUGGUCCUGCAGGAAAAGUGGCUACAGUGGCACUACAGUAGAUCAUGAGAGUUCCUGAUUCAUUUCUUACACUGCAUGCUACGAGUAAUGUAGGAAAUUUCAGAUGAAUGACUGUAAAGCUUGACUUGAAAUGUCUUGAAAUCAGUUGAACAUAUCUGCCGUCUUUUGUUUUGCUCUGAUCUUCAGGUUAAACUGAAACCAGGACCAACCAAAGCAGAAAAUUAUACCAAACUCCACAGGCUCAGAGUAGUUUUAUUUCUGCAGUAUGAUUGUGCGUUCUCUUCCCAAGUGCACUAGGCUUUGCGUUUAGACACCAAAACAGCUGCCUGACUUUCUUGUCUUUCUUUUUUUUUUUAAAUGGGGGACAAACUGUCCAAACCUUCAGCCAACAGAGUCUCUGUACUGCAUUUCUGCUUUUAAAUGUUUACACACAUGGAUCCCAAGCUGCUCGCUCACAUUGCUGACACUCGUAAUGAGUUGGGUUAGUGCCGUAUUUUCUGGAAUAUAAGUUGCUCCAAAGAUACUGCUCAAAUUCUGUCUGCUUAAUUUAAAAAAAAAAAAAAAAAUCAAUAUACGGUGCUGCACCAAAGUCUCCGGCACCAUAGAGUUCUUCGAGGAUUUUCUUAAGUUCUUAGACGUUAAUAUCUUCUGCAUUCAUUCAUUAAUUUCAGUAGAAAUUUUUCGGUUUACAAAAGAAUGUUGGUUCCAAAUUAAGAAAUAAAAGCAAGUAACGUUAAAUAAAGCACUUUUCAGGUAAAAGUUGAUUAUAUUAUAAGUACAGUACCAGUCAAAAGUUUGGACACACUCAUUCAUAGGUUUUUGUGCAUUUUGACAAUUUUCUACAUUGUAGAACAAAACUGAAGACAUCAAAACUAUGAAAUAACAUCUGGAACGUAUAUAGAAAUCAAAAGGUGUUAAGAACAAAAUAUGUUAUAUAUUUUAGAUUCUUCAAAAAUAGUCAGCGUUUACCUUGAUGACGCUUUGCACACUAUUGGCAUUCUCUUAACCAGCUUCAUGAGGUAGUCACCUGGAACUCUUUUCAUUAACAGGUGCCUUGUUAAAAAUUAAUUAGAGUGGCGGCUACAAUUAUCGACACCUUAACGAUCUUUUGGCCGUUGCAAAAGUAGAAAAGUUUUUACGUAAAUUGUGCAUGAAUAGUUACUCAAACUUCCACUGGAGAAAAAAAUGAGUUGAUUCCUGAUUACUUAGCGUAUCAGAUCAUGUGACACUGUUCCACAAGUAUUGACACCUUUGUCCACAGUUAUCAACACCGUUCCACAAUUAUCGACACCCAGAUGAUUACUUAUUAAAAAAAUUAUCGGUAUGUGGUAUUAAGUUAACAAAACAUAUAGUUUUUAUUUAAAAUUUGUUUUACAUAGUCUUGUAUUUAGUACAAAAUAUAUUUUAUAUAAAUAUAUCGAUGUCGGUGCUUACGUAAAUGAGGAAGUAAUUCUAAUGUUUAUCAACAAAUGAACUGAUAAUGUUUAACCUGUGUCAGAAAAUCUUUUGUUCCACUUUCUAAGUAUUUUCGUAGAUCACAUUUUGUUAAUCAUUCGUCGUUGUUUGUAUUAAUUUCUAGUUUUGUAGUUUACCAAUAAAUGUCAACAGGCAACUGAGAUUGUAACCACAUGAAACUCCAGGUCAAAGGUCGCAUGUCAUUCCUCGAACCAAAAUAUAAAAUGUCCACUGAUAUUGUAGCCUAAUAUGUGGUAGAUAUUUACAAUAAACUGCAAAAAAAAAAAUUUCCUAAUGGAAUAGAAAAAUCUGAAUAUUUCAAGCAUGUAAUUUUUUAUAUGCUAGGAAUUUAAUUCAGGUCUAAUUCUAUUUAUUGCAAUCGGAUUCCAAAUACUCUAUAAACAUUCCAUUCUGUUAUGAAUCAGAAAAAAAAAUCACAGCACUUUUAUUACAUUUUUUUCAAAGUACUUCAUCUACUUCAACAAUGUUACACAAAGAUCGAGCCAUAACCAUUGUAAAUGUCACUUAAUUCCACAGGGUGUCGAUAAUGGUGCACACCAGUGAAAGUGAUCACUUAUCGACACCUCAAGUGAUUCUCAAAUGUGCGUUUAGAGACAAAAUCGCGACUGUCAAAUGAAAGAGUAAGAAACAAAGUAGGUUUUGACAAGGAGAUCAUGAAAUUUCGGUGAAUUUGAUGAGUAAAAACAUGUCCAUGAUCUUUCCACCAUGCUUACCUGCGAUGAUAACGUCCGGGUUUUCCUCAAAUUGCUGAUUGUGCUGAAAAAAAUUCCAUCUCAGGUAACGAGCUGUCAUCAGACGACAAGAUCAAAGGGCGAGGCGGGUCUUCCGGUUGAUUAAUUAACCAAUAAUAACUGUUGUAACUGAAACUCGCCUUUGUUUUUUAUUGGUAAAUCUGGAAAGGUGUCGAUAAUUGUAGCCACCGCUCUAGUACAAUUUCUCUUCUUCUUAGUGCGUUUGAGACCAACAGUAAAUCGCCCUAUUCUACAACUGUAGUAAUCCAUAUUAUGUCAAGAACUGCUCAACUAAGUAAAGAGAAACAACAUCCAUCAUUACUUUAAGACAUGAAGUGUCUUUUUAAUUAAUAAAGAUAAAGAAAAAACAUUAAAUUAGUUGUGUCCAAACUUUUGUCUGGCCCUGUAUAUAUGAUUAAACAAAAAUACCAAACAGAUCUGGAGAGGAACUAUGUCCAGAAUGUUCUGAACAACCUACCAACCUUUCUUUUCUUCUCCUUUUCUGUACUGUUUACUGCACUUUAUACUAUUUUGCUAUAUUUUUAGAAACUUGAUGUCAUCAUUUUUGAGAGUAUUCUCACUUUAAAAAGGUUCUUUAUAUGUGCCUAAGAUUUCUCCACCCUAGAUCAUGGAGAUGUUCAAGUGUCUUUCAUGUACCAGUCAUUUUGUUUUACGUAAUAUUGUUUAAAUGUUGCAUUCAGUUAAAACACGUCCAAAGUUGAAGCUCAAACUCAUGCCUAAAAGUUCUCACUUAGCUACUGGAGAAUUCUUGAAAUCGCUGUGUUGUUUCAGUCCUAGCACCCGACGAAGAAAACAAGCAUCAUAUAGAUCAGAAAAUACGGUAACUUUAAAAAAAAAAAAAAGACACUCACCUGGUGUUUCUAGUCCUGUAUCACAUCAUCAGCUUUACCGUCACAAACACAUAACUAUGGGUUCCAGUCUUUAGCCACUGAAGAAGAAUACCUUGUUCGUGUAAAAUAGGAGUUUAUAGAAGCCAUGGACUGUAGCCUGAGCUGAAGGUGUAGGAACAUCAUUGGUUUAUUCACAUGUAACAUAUCAGCACUCGCUGUGUCACGAGCCAUGGCAGGACGUAUUGUACAUAUCGUAAUAGACGGAGGUAUAAAUUUGUUGGCGUGAAGAAAUGACUGUUUAUGCACAUCCGUUUUAAAUCUCACUUCAUUGUUCUUCUGGAAAAGGACCGAUCUUGUGAUAUGUAUAUUGUUUGUUUACGAAAACAGUUGAUAACAUUUUUUUGUAUAUAAUAAUUUUAUUUUUGUACGUUGUCACCAAACUCGUAUGGUUUCGUAUGCUUUGCUGCACAUUGUGCAUGGCUACUGUGUGCUCAGUGUAGAGAUGAACACACUUCCUGAGUUAUGAGUAUGUCGAUUUAUCCGAAGCACCAAAUACAGAUAUUUGUUUUCAUACUGCUCAUGAAAUUUCUCUUUGUAAUUUUUCAUCUAUUAGUAAGUGUUCAUGCUCUCCACAAGUGCUUUACAGCUUUUAGUUUGUUGUUGUUUAAGUGGAAAUGGUGCAUUCGGGGGAAAACUGCCUUGUUUUUUUUUUUUUUUUUUAGUUUUUUUUUUAAACAUGAUUAAAAACCGUCCAGGUUUAGAAAGACAAAACAGAUGUUUCCUUUACUAACAUAAUUACCAUGUCAUACAUUACAAUAAUCUU